GUGCUCACUUUGGCAGCACAUAUAUACUAAAAUUGGAACAAUACUGAGGAGAUUAACAUGGCCCCUGUGCAAGGAUGACAUGCAAAUUUGUUAAUUCUUCCAUAUUUUU